UACAGAGGGUGCGAGCGUUAUUCGGAAUUACUGGGCGUAAAGCGCGCGUAGGCGGCUUUGCAAGUCGGGUGUGAAAUCCCCAGGCUCAACCUGGGAACUGCAUUCGAGACUGCAUUGCUAGAGUAUGGGAGAGGGAAGUGGAAUUUCAGGUGUAGCGGUGAAAUGCGUAGAUAUCUGAAGGAACAUCAGUGGCGAAAGCGACUUCCUGGACCAAUACUGACGCUCAUGUGCGAAAGCGUGGGGAGCAAACAGG
rnacentral:rRNA from 1 species